CCCCUAGUAACUGCGAGUGAAGCGGGAAAAGCUCAAAUUUAAAAUCUGGGGAAGUUGUCGCCCGAGUUGUAAUCUGGAGAAGCGUUUUCCGUGCCGGACCGUGUACAAGUCUCUUGGAACAGAGCGUCAUAGAGGGUGAGAAUCCCGUCCAUGACACGGACUCCCGGUGCUUUGUGAUACGCUCUCGAAGAGUCGAGUUGUUUGGGAAUGCAGCUCAAAAUGGGUGGUAAGCUCCAUCUAAAGCUAAAUAUUGGCGAGAGACCGAUAGCGAACAAGUACCGUGAGGGAAAGAUGAAAAGCACUUUGGAAAGAGAGUUAAACAGUACGUGAAAUUGUUGAAAGGGAAACGCUUGAAGUCAGUCGCAUCUUACUUGACUCAGCCUUGCUUUGGCUUGGUGUAUUUCAAGUAGGAUGGGUCAACAUCGAUUUUGACCGGCGGACAAGGGGUUAAGGAAUGUGGCACUCUUCGGAGUGUGUUAUAGCCUUUUCUCAUAUACGUCGGUUGGGAUUGAGGCCCGCAGCGCGCCCUUGUGGCCGGAGGUUCGCCUCACGUAACGCGCUUAGGAUGUUGGCAUAAUGGCUUUAAGCGACCCGUCUUGAAACACGGACCAAGGAGUCUAACAUGCUCGCGAGUGUUAGGGUGGAAAACCCUUGCGCGUAAUGAAAGUGAAAGUUGAGAACCUCCGCAAGGGGGUGCAUCGACGCCCGGCCCUGAAGUUUACUGACGGUGCUGCGGUAGAGCGCGUAUGUUGGGACCCGAAAGAUGGUGAACUAUGCCUGAAUAGGGCGAAGCCAGAGGAAACUCUGGUGGAGGCUCGUAGCGAUUCUGACGUGCAAAUCGAUCGUCAAAUUUGGG
rnacentral:rRNA from 1 species